rnacentral:rRNA from 1 species
CCUACGGGUGGCAGCAGUGAGGAAUAUUGGUCAAUGGCCGCAAGGCUGAACCAGCCAAGCCGCGUGCAGGACGACGGCGCUAUGCAUUGUAAACUUCUUUUGUCCGGGGAUAAAAUCAGGCACGCGUGCCUGUCUGAAGGUACCUGAUGAAAAAGCAUCGGCUAACUCCGUGCCAGCAGCCGCGGUAAUACGGAGGGUGCGAGCGUUAUCCGGAUUUAUUGGGUUUAAAGGGUGCGUAGGCCGGGUGUUAAGUCAGCGGUGAAAUCCCGGGGCUCAACCCCGGCAGAGCGGUUGAAACUGGCUGGCUUGAGAGGGCGAGAGGUAUGCGGAAUGCGCGGUGUAGCGGUGAAAUGCUUAGAUAUCACGCAGAACUCCGAUUGCGAAGGCAGCAUACCGGCGGCCUUCUGACGCUGAGGCACGAAAGCGUGGGUAUCGAACAGGAUUAGAUACCCGAGUAGUC